UCCAUUUCUCCCCAAAAUCAAAACCUCCAUUUCAGUGGCGAAGCAACAAAGCAAGAAUCCGGCAGCAAAGCAACAAAGCAAGAAUCCGGCAGCAAAGCAACAAAUCAAGGCUCAGGCGGGGAAGCAAUGAAUUGAGGCUCCGGCGGCGAAGCAGUGAAUCAAGGCUCCAGCGGCGAAGCAACAGAUCUAGGCUCCGGUGGCGAAGCAACAAAUCCAGGCUCCGGUGGCGAAGCAACAGAUUGAGGAUCCGGCGGCGAAGCAACAAAUCGAGACUCCAGCGGCGAAGCAACAGAUCUAGGAUCCGGCAGAGCCAAUCAAUGAAGAAGAGGUCGAGGCAGUUGCUCACUUCACGAUGAAGACACCGACGGCGAAGCAACAAUUCGAAGCUCCGCCUGCGCUAGGCCUUAAAGAUUAAUGACAAUGGCAAAGAGGAAGGCUGCUGCAAUAAAAGAAGAGGACGCAAUGUUAAUUUGCUACUACAUGUAAUAUAUUGCUUGCAGCAAUGUAUAUUUUGACUGUGGAGCAUAUAUAUCCUAAACUAUAUACAACAAGUUGCAAAUAACCAAGGAGUCAGGGAUAGAAGAAUGUGCUACAAAUUGAAAAGGAAAUCAAAGAGAGCCUCAAGCACAUGAGGAAAUCCUGCUGGAGAAAC